rnacentral:rRNA from 1 species
CCUACGGGAGGCAGCAGUGGGGAAUAUUGGACAAUGGGCGCAAGCCUGAUCCAGCCAUACCGCGUGGGUGAAGAAGGCCUUCGGGUUGUAAAGCCCUUUUGUUGGGAAAGAAAAGCAGUCGGCUAAUACCCGGUUGUUCUGACGGUACCCAAAGAAUAAGCACCGGCUAACUUCGUGCCAGCAGCCGCGGUAAUACGAAGGGUGCAAGCGUUACUCGGAAUUACUGGGCGUAAAGCGUGCGUAGGUGGUUGUUUAAGUCUGUUGUGAAAGCCCUGGGCUCAACCUGGGAAUUGCAGUGGAUACUGGGCGACUAGAGUGUGGUAGAGGGUAGUGGAAUUCCCGGUGUAGCAGUGAAAUGCGUAGAGAUCGGGAGGAACAUCCAUGGCGAAGGCAGCUACCUGGACCAACACUGACACUGAGGCACGAAAGCGUGGGGAGCAAACAGGAUUAGAUACCCUGGUAGUCCACGCCCUAAACGAUGCGAACUGGAUGUUGGGUGCAAUUUGGCACGCAGUAUCGAAGCUAACGCGUUAAGUUCGCCGCCUGGGGAGUACGGUCGCAAGACUGAAACUCA